rnacentral:rRNA from 1 species
GAGGUUAAGCGACUAAGCGUACACGGUGGAUGCCCUGGCAGUCAGAGGCGAUGAAGGACGUGCUAAUCUGCGAUAAGCGCCGGUAAGGUGAUAUGAACCGUUAUAACCGGCGAUUUCCGAAUGGGGAAACCCAGUGUGAUUCGUCACACUAUCAUUAACUGAAUCCAUAGGUUAAUGAGGCGAACCGGGGGAACUGAAACAUCUAAGUACCCCGAGGAAAAGAAAUCAACCGAGAUUCCCCCAGUAGCGGCGAGCGAACGGGGAGGAGCCCAGAGCCUGAAUCAGCAUGUGUGUUAGUGGAAGCGUCUGGAAAGGCGCGCGAUACAGGGUGACAGCCCCGUACACAAAAGCGCAUGUGCUGUGAGCUCGAUGAGUAGGGCGGGACACGUGGUAUCCUGUCUGAAUAUGGGGGGACCAUCCUCCAAGGCUAAAUACUCCUGACUGACCGAUAGUGAACCAGUACCGUGAGGGAAAGGCGAAAAGAACCCCGGCGAGGGGAGUGAAAAAGAACCUGAAACCGUGUACGUACAAGCAG